UACGUAGGGGGCAAGCGUUGUCCGGAAUCAUUGGGCGUAAAGCGCGUGUAGGCGGCUUCGUAAGUCCGUUGUGAAAGUCCAGGGCUCAACCCUGGAAUGCCGAUGGAUACUGCGGAGCUAGAGUCCGGAAGAGGCGAGUGGAAUUCCUGGUGUAGCGGUGGAAUGCGCAGAUAUCAGGAGGAACACCGAUGGCGAAGGCAGCUCACUGGGACGGUACUGACGCUGAGACGCGAAAGCGUGGGGAGCAAACAGG
rnacentral:rRNA from 1 species